rnacentral:rRNA from 1 species
AGUGAACGCUGGCGGUAGGCCUAACACAUGCAAGUCGAACGGCAGCACAGUAAGAGCUUGCUCUUACGGGUGGCGAGUGGCGGACGGGUGAGGAAUACAUCGGAAUCUACUUUUUCGUGGGGGAUAACGUAGGGAAACUUACGCUAAUACCGCAUACGACCUACGGGUGAAAGCAGGGGAUCUUCGGACCUUGCGCGAUUGAAUGAGCCGAUGUCGGAUUAGCUAGUUGGCGGGGUAAAGGCCCACCAAGGCGACGAUCCGUAGCUGGUCUGAGAGGAUGGUCAGCCACACUGGAUCUGAGAAACGGUCCAGACUCCUACGGGAGGCAGCAGUGGGGAAUCUUGGACAAUGGGGGCAAGCCGGAUCCAGCCAUACCGCGUGGGUGAAGAAGGCCUUCGGGUUGGAAAGCCCUUUUGUUGGGAAAGAAAAGCAGCAGGUUAAUACCCCGCUGUUCUGACGGUACCCAAAGAAUAAGCUCCGGCUAACUUCGUG